rnacentral:lncRNA from 1 species
UCGUGUCCCAAUCUAUCUCUAGGAAUUUUCCUAGAAUUUUUAAGAUUUCCAGAGUAUUUUUCAUGGCUUAAAUAAAUUUUCUAGAUUUUGUGGAUUUUUAUUUAUAUAGAAAAUUAAUUCUGAAAAAAGGAAACCUAUCCUACCAGUUUGGGCCGAGCCUGUGGGCUUGACCCGCGUUGGCCCAUCCAGCCCGCCGGGGCCCAUCGGACGCCGAAGCCGCCGCCGCUGAACCUCGACGUGCGCAGUCGCAGG